GGGGUAGUUUUUGUGAUAGAAAUGUAAAUGUAAACAAACAAUAGAUUUAGAAUGCAUUCGAAGAUUCGUGUAUUAUCAAAGGAAAAGUAAUUCAAAAUGUUUUCCAUGCCUAAAAAAAAUUGGCGUUUACUUCCGAAUUUUAUUUAAGUUAAUAUUUCUUGUUUCGGUAUUCCCAAGUUUCACUGUAUUCAUUCAGCUUUUUGUUAUGUCCUAGUCCUAGUCCUAGUCCACAGACACAUACCAACAGUUGCUUCCAUUGAAAAAAAAACAAUUAAACAUUCAGCAACUUGUGUAAACAGUUAAAUAAUUGGCCUCUUACUAAAUUAAGUCAUUUCAGGAACUUCAGCAUGUUCUUCAGUAUAUCGAAACAGUGCCAACCCACCUGUGCCAAACUACAUGUUUACAACUGAUAAUUCUUAAUCACCCAGAUGCAGAAAAGUUUAAUCUUUAAACUGAAUUUGUUCUACAGGAGUAAAUGUAGCAUGGAUCAACUUCCAGUGACCAACUUCCAGUGACCAACUUGUGGCUAGAGUCGAUACUUACAAGGGUAUUAGUUGCAAUGCUUCCUGACAUGGCAAAUUAUUCCAUAGCAGAAAAAGAUGCUAUGUGUCGAAAAGCUAAAGUGUUUUUCCACUGUGAUGGAGCCAAAGCUGUAGGUAAAAUUCCAAUUGAUGUUGAAUCGAUGUAAAUUGAUUUAUAAAGGUGUUGGUGCUCUUUACGUGAUAGGCCGACCACGGGUUAGGAUUGAAGCUCUGCAAAGUGGAGGUGGUCAGGAAUGAGGGAUACGUAGUGGAAGUUCCUACUCCACUGACAGAUUGACAGUUAGUUUUGGCGCAGCAUGUGAAGUAGCUCAGCAAGAACUUAAGUAUAAUCACGCCAGAUUAGUAAACUAUCGCAACGCUUGAUCGAUCAGAUUGGUAAUAGUUUAACACAUGUCGUACGAAACUGAGAUCCUGAACACUCCUACCCAGGUUGUGUAAACCUUUCUUUCGCCUACGUCGAGGGAGAAAGUCUUUUCAUGGCCCUGAAAGACGUGGCACUCUCAAGCGGAAGUGCUUGCACCUCAGCAUUGCUGGAACCUUCAUAUAUAUUUUGCGUACCAUUGGCGCUGAAGAUUUUGCGCAUUCUUCUAUUCGAUUUGGAAUCCGAAGCUGAGGUUGAUUACACGGCAGAAAAGUGUAUUCAUCAAGUAUCACCAAACUUCGAGAAAUGAGGUAUAUGGGACCGGGUUUGGAAUGCCCCGACAAAAAGUUUAUUUCACUUCCGCUAAAAAUGUUAAUUUGUCCUUCUUCCUUAUUUCUUAUUUGUUUAUUUUUGUCGAAAUGAAAAUUUAUAAAUGCAACGGUUUUCUUUUUUUAAAUUAUGAUCAGUGUUUAAAAAAAGUAGAAGAGAUACAGAGUACAAUAAAAUAAAAAAUAACGACAAGAAAAUGAAGCACAAGAACAAGACUGCCUAAUUACAAAAUUCUUUCAAGAUAGCUCUGUCACUUAGCCGAAGGCCAACGCUUGCAACGCGAGCCCUAGUAUAGGUCUCUCACAGUCUGUGCCUUUAUACCUUAGAAGCCCUUUUCACGUCACGUUUCUGGAUCGCUUUCUGCCCAGCCAGUUUUUUCUCUAAUCUACUUAACUGUAUUAUAGACAUGAGCAUUUGCGGUUGAGUUAUUUUAAUUACGCAAUUCUUGAGUUUGACCUCUAUUUUUAUGCCUGCAACCUGCAUCCUAAAUAAAUUUUCUUUUUUAAAAUCUAACCCAUAAGGAAAUGUCAAAAGAUAAGAUUGAGAAUGCUUAAGCAAGCGGUACAAUAAUGAUCGUGUUUCUGAAUUUAUUAUUUACUAUUACUAUUUAUUAUUUUUAAUUUAUCUUGCACAAAAUCAAAGAAUUUUUUGCUAGCUCUCCGAUUCCGAUUUCGAAAUUUUAACAAUGAAUCUUGAUUCUUUGUUUGAAUAACGAUGAGUUGCAUAAACAAAUCUGUACAUGUUGGCUUUACAAUCAGAUAAUAAGCGGAUGAAAAAACGUGAGUUAUCUGACUUUAGAGUUUGAUUUGACUCCGGAAUAAUAGUCUUUUCGAUUUCGAUCAAUUUCCGGAUUUUGACAGGUGGCAGCACUGCUUCGUUGCCAUGGCAAUGGCAUUUAAUAACAGCAGACACUAAUGAAAAACGUCAAUCGAAUCGACAUUCAUUUUUCUUGGCUAUUUUAUUACGAUGUCAAAAAUAGAAAAAAAGACGCAAUCGAAUGGUUCCCAAGAUGGGAAUCAUUUUUCAAGUGAUAUAUGAAAGAACUGUCGACAAUAUGUCGCUCGGUUUUCUUUAUAAAUCGCAUAACCUGCAGUCUUUUUGCUGACAAAGCUAUUUCUUUUUUGUUGGAUAAUGUGCUUUCACUAGGUAUUUUCACCUCCCCAAAUGCGGCCUCAUCCUGUGAUUGAUGAUGGACUCUCAAUUUUGUACCCCAUUGCUUUUAAGUUCUUUCUGCGAACUGGACGUAUAAUUUUCCUUCAAGUCAUACGAAAGCGACCCUCAGUCAUUGGUGUGGGUCCUUUGAUAAGUUAGCAAAACACAAAUGGGACGUACGCCCUCUGCAAUCGUGCUAGUAUUUCGUUUACAAAAUUGACCGCCAAUUCAUUGACGUUAAUCUUGAAAUAAUUUUUGAUGAAAUCAAUUGAUUAGUCAACUAAUAAUAACCGUGGAUCAAUAAACAGGUUUGACUCGA